rnacentral:rRNA from 1 species
AUCGAACGCUGGCGGCAGGCCUAACACAUGCAAGUCGAACGAGUGGCGGACGGGUGAGUAAUGUCUGGGACACUGCCUGAUGGAGGGGGAUAACUACUGGAAACGGUAGCUAAUACCGCAUACAAUCGGGUGUGCCCAGAGGGGUUUAGCUGGUAGGUGGGGUAACGGCUCACCUAGGCCGCGAUCCCUGGCUGGUCUGAGAGGAUGACCAGCCACCUUGGAACGUGGACACGGUCUACGCUCCUGCGGUAUGCAGCAGUGGGGAAUAGUGGACAAUGGGCGCAAGCCUGAUGCAGGCAUGCCGGGUGUAUGAAGGAGGCCUUCGGGUUUUAAAGUAUUUUCAGCGUGGAGGCGUUACUCGCAGAAGAAGCACCGGCUAACUACGUGCCAGCAGCCGCGGUAAUAC